CUCUUUUUGAUUAUAAUUUAAAGUAGGGCCUGCCCACUGAAUUUUGAAGGGCCGCAGUAUUUUGACUGUGCAAAGGUAGCAUAAUCAUUAGUUUUUUAAUUGAAAGCUUGUAUGAAUGGUUUGAUGAGAAAAUUUCUGUCUCAAUUUUAAUUUUUUAAAAUUUUAUUUUUAAGUAAAAAAGCUUAGAUUAAUUUAAAAGACGAGAAGACCCUAUAGAGUUUUAUUAAAAAUAUUUUUAUAAAUUUUAGAAUUCAUUUUUUUUUAAUAUUAUUUUUAAUUGGGUUGGGGUGACUAAAAAAUUAAUUAAACUUUUUUUUUAUUUUUACAUUGAUUUAUGAUUAAUUGAUCCAUAUAAAUGAUUAAAAGAUUAAAUUACCUUAGGGAUAACAGCGUAAUUUUUUUUUAGAGUUCUUAUUGAAAGAAAAGAUUGCGACCUCGAUGUUGGAUUAAAAUUUAUUUUUGGUGUAGGAGCUAAAAAAUUAGGUCUGUUCGACCUUUAAAAUUUUACA
rnacentral:rRNA from 1 species